UACGAAGGGUGCAAGCGUUAAUCGGAAUUACUGGGCGUAAAGGGUGCGUAGGCGGUGAGUUAAGUCUGUUGUGAAAUCCCCGGGCUCAACCUGGGAAUGGCAAUGGAUACUGGCUCGCUAGAGUGUGUCAGAGGAUGGUGGAAUUUCCGGUGUAGCGGUGAAAUGCGUAGAGAUCGGAAGGAACAUCAGUGGCGAAGGCGGCCAUCUGGGACAACACUGACGCUGAAGCACGAAAGCUAGGGGAGCAAACAGG
rnacentral:rRNA from 1 species